CUAUGCGCCUUGCCAGCCCGCUCAGGUGUGCCAGCCGCCGCGGUAAUACGGAGGAUGCGAGCGUUAUCCGGAUUUAUUGGGUUUAAGGGUGCGUAGGUGGUUAAUUAAGUCAGCGGUGAAAGUUUGUGGCUCAACCAUAAAAUUGCCGUUGAAACUGGUUGACUUGAGUAUAUUUGAGGUAGGCGGAAUGCGUGGUGCAGCGGUGAAAUGCAUAGAUAUCACGCAGAACUCCGAUUGCGAAGGCAGCUUACUAAACUAUAACUGACACUGAAGCACGAAAGCGUGGGGAUCAAACAGG
rnacentral:rRNA from 1 species